CCUACGGGUGGCAGCAGUGAGGAAUAUUGGUCAAUGGGCGAGAGCCUGAACCAGCCAAGUCGCGUGAGGGAAGACGGUCCUACGGAUUGUAAACCUCUUUUGUCAGGGAGUAAAGAGCGCCACGAGUGGUUCGUCGAGAGUACCUUAAGAAAAAGCAUCGGCUAACUCCGUGCCAGCAGCCGCGGUAAUACGGAGGAUGCGAGCGUUAUCCGGAUUUAUUGGGUUUAAAGGGUGCGCAGGCGGAAGCGGCAAGUCAGCGGUAAAAUUUCGGGGCUCAACCUCGCCGUGCCGUUGAAACUGCUAUUCUAGAGUGGGCGAGAGGUAUGCGGAAUGCGUGGUGUAGCGGUGAAAUGCAUAGAUAUCACGCAGAACUCCGAUUGCGAAGGCAGCAUACCGGCGCCCAACUGACGCUCAUGCACGAAAGCGUGGGUAUCGAACAGGAUUAGAUACCCCAGUAGUC
rnacentral:rRNA from 1 species